CGCCUGAACCUUUCGUCUCAACCU
rnacentral:miRNA from 1 species